UACGGGAGGCAGCAGUGAGGAAUAUUGGUCAAUGGGUGCAAGCCUGAACCAGCCAUCCCGCGUGAAGGACGACUGCCCUAUGGGUUGUAAACUUCUUUUGUAUAGGGAUAAACCUACCCUCGUGAGGGUAGCUGAAGGUACUAUACGAAUAAGCACCGGCUAACUCCGUGCCAGCAGCCGCGGUAAUACGGAGGGUGCAAGCGUUAUCCGGAUUUAUUGGGUUUAAAGGGUCCGUAGGCGGACUUAUAAGUCAGUGGUGAAAGCCUGUCGCUUAACGAUAGAACUGCCAUUGAUACUGUAAGUCUUGAGUAUAUUUUGAGGUAGCUGGAAUAAGUAGUGUAGCGGUGAAAUGCAUAGAUAUUACUUAGAACACCAAUUGCGAAAGGCAGGUUACCAAGAUAUAAACUGACGCUGAGGGACGAAAGCGUGGGGAGCGAACAGGGAUUAGAUACC
rnacentral:rRNA from 1 species